CCUACGGGAGGCAGCAGUGGGGGAUAUUGCACAAUGGGGGGAACCCUGAUGCAGCGACGCCGCGUGGGUGAAGGAGCGUUUCGGUGCGUAAAGCUCUAUCGGCAGGGAAGAAGAUGCCGGUACCUGGCCAAGAAGCCCCGGCUAAUUACGUGCCAGCAGCCGCGGAAAUACCUAGGGGCAAGCGUUAACCGGGUUUACUGGGUGUAAAGGGGGAGCAGACGGGAAUGCAAGCCAGGAGUGAAAGCCCGGGGCCCAACCCCGGGACUGCUCUUGGAACUGCAUGGCUGGAGUACAGGAGGGGCAGGCGGAAUGCCUAGUGUAGCGGUGAAAUGCGUAGAUAUUAGGAGGAACACCAGUGGCGAAGGCGGCCUGCUGGACUGUGACUGACGUUGAGGCCCGAAGGCGUGGGGAGCAAACAGGAUUAGAUACCCCUGUAGUC
rnacentral:rRNA from 1 species